rnacentral:rRNA from 1 species
UACGUAGGGUGCAAGCGUUGUCCGGAAUUAUUGGGCGUAAAGAGCUCGUAGGCGGUCUGUCGCGUCGGCUGUGAAGACUCGGGGCUCAACUCCGAGCUUGCAGUCGAUACGGGCAGGCUAGAGUUCGGCAGGGGAGACUGGAAUUCCUGGUGUAGCGGUGAAAUGCGCAGAUAUCAGGAGGAACACCGGUGGCGAAGGCGGGUCUCUGGGCCGAUACUGACGCUGAGGAGCGAAAGCGUGGGGAGCGAACAGG